UGGAUAUCCUUUUUUUUUUUUUUUUUUUUAAUUUCCUUUCUUGUUUUUAAUUUUGUUUUGGUUGCUGAAAUGAAAUAGUUUUCUAACCCCUCCCCCACCCUGGUUUUUCAUAAUCACUCGGAUUUCCAGCUGGAUAGUCUUUGAGGAUACAGGUGGAUGCUGUGGGGGGGUCCAGGCAGCUCUGUGGAACAGUCUCCAAUGGGCUAGUAGGAUGAGAAGGUCCAGGGGUAGUUUGGGAAACGAGGAGAAACAUCACCUCCCGAGACGGUAAUCCUACUGAAAAGACGAUUCAAACUCCAGAAGGAC
rnacentral:lncRNA from 1 species